rnacentral:lncRNA from 1 species
CUGCUGUGUUUUUCUUUGUUGUGUAGGUUAUGUAUUUAUAGUGCUGUUUGGGGACAAGGAUUUGUUACAAAAAUUGCAGAUUUUAGGAGAUUGAGAUGGAGAUAGGCGCGUAACAGACUGGAUGAGGAUGAGGAUGAUGGUUUGUGAUUUGUUACGCAUGAACCUGGACUGUUCUUGGGACUCAUGGACAUUUUUGGGACUUUGGACA